UACGUAGGGGGCAAGCGUUGUCCGGAAUUAUUGGGCGUAAAGAGCGUGUAGGCGGUCCGGUAAGUCAGCUGUGAAAGUCAAGGGCUCAACCCUUGAAAGCCGGCUGAUACUGUCGGGCUAGAGUCCGGAAGAGGCGAGUGGAAUUCCCGGUGUAGCGGUGAAAUGCGCAGAUAUCGGGAGGAACACCAAUGGCGAAGGCAGCUCGCUGGGACGGUACUGACGCUGAGACGCGAAAGCGUGGGGAGCAAACAGG
rnacentral:rRNA from 1 species